UUCAGCUCAUGUCAACUCGAUUCAAACUUUCUUUCUUAGAAAGCUACAAAUACAAAAAUAAAGUUUAAAACUCUCUAAAUUGAAAGUAGUUGUAAGGUUAAGGCCGUGAAUAUACCUACCAGUUGAAAGCUGUCUUCUCAUGUCGACCCUUCUCGUGUCUUCUCCUCUUUGGUCUCGGAGCUGACACCUAGUUUCAGUCGAUGUUAGAUAAGAUUUCCUAGCGUGUUGACAAUAGACAACAUCGACCCAGACCAGCAACGCAAAAAGAUUUCUCAGAACAGCCAUAAGCCGUGUAUUCCGUAAUAAAAUACUGC